GACGGAGGGUGCUAGCGUUGUUCGGAAUCACUGGGCGUAAAGGGCGCGUAGGCGGCCCAUGCCGUCGGCUCGUGAAAGCCCGGGGCUCAACCCCGGAGGUGCGGCCGAGACCCAUGGGCUGGAGGCCGGAAGAGGAGGGUGGAAUACCCAGUGUAGAGGUGAAAUUCGUAGAGAUUGGGGGGAACACCGGUGGCGAAAGCGGCUCUCUGGUCCGGUUCUGACGAUGAGGCGCGAAAGAGUGGGGAGCAAACAGG
rnacentral:rRNA from 1 species